rnacentral:rRNA from 1 species
GGCAUAAGGGAGCUUGACUGCGAGACCUACAAGUCGAGCAGGGUCGAAAGACGGACUUAGUGAUCCGGUGGUUCCGCAUGGAAGGGCCAUCGCUCAACGGAUAAAAGCUACCCCGGGGAUAACAGGCUUAUCUCCCCCAAGAGUUCACAUCGACGGGGAGGUUUGGCACCUCGAUGUCGGCUCAUCGCAUCCUGGGGCUGUAGUCGGUCCCAAGGGUUGGGCUGUUCGCCCAUUAAAGCGGUACGCGAGCUGGGUUCAGAACGUCGUGAGACAGUUCGGUCCCUAUCCGUCGUGGGCGUAGGAAAUUUGAGAGGAGCUGUCCUUAGUACGAGAGGACCGGGAUGGACAUACCUCUGGUGUACCAGUUGUCGUGCCAACGGCAUAGCUGGGUAGCUAUGUGUGGACGGGAUAAGUGCUGAAAGCAUCUAAGCAUGAAGCCCCCCUCAAGAUGAGAUUUCCCAACUUCGGUUAUAAGAUCCCUCAAAGAUGAUGAGGUUAAUAGGUUCGAGGUGGAAGCAUGGUGACAUGUGGAGCUGACGAAUACUAA